UCAACAGUUUUGACUCCACUGUAAACAUUCUCACCGACACGCCCCACGGAAUCCCUGAUACACUGAAGGUUCCUCCGCCGCUAACAGAAGAGAACCGGUCGGGGCAGAGAUUAGCAUUACCAGUUGUCUACUGUGGACUAGAAUGUGACUGGAGGAAAUGCUUACCGAUCCAGCCUUUUCAUCAAACCACUUCUGCACCCUAAACUGAUCCUCAGAACUCCCCCUGCAGGUUGGGCCUGUAAGUGGAAGCCAUGAUGACAUAACUGCCAGGCUCCAGGUGCACCUUCCUCCACACACUCCUGAUGUUACGGUACUUUCCAGAGCGGCGUACAGCACGAUUGUUGGAGAAGAACUGCUGGUCCAGAGAACCUGGACUGUGCUGCAGCUUAAGGCUCUCACCUCAGGGGGGAUCUGGAAGAGAGAAUAAAUAAGAGGUGAGAGAUAAUGAGAAAUAAAGAUUCAUAAAUAGAGGUGUUUCAAAUUUGCUUGUAUGAUAAAUUACUUGUGAUGUUGGAUAAAAUCCUCUGCUAAAUGAUUAAUGUAAAUGCAAGUAAUGUACAACUACAUCAGGGGUCUUCAACCUUUUCAAACCAAGGACCGGUUGGUGGAUGGAGAGAAAGAGCAGGGAUCCCAUGUUACAUAUUGUAUAAAAAAUGAGUGUUGUAUUUUAUGCCUGGCCUAUAAUAACAUACAGUACAUAUUGUACCAAAUUAAUGAAAUACUUUGCUAUGAUGCUUACAUUGCAAAGCCAUUUAAACAAUCAUUGUACAAAGUCAUAUUGUAUGUUACAUUUAUAUUUUCUUAAUACAUUUUAACAUGAAAAGGACAACGAAACAUUUACCUGAACGUUUGCUUUCUAAGUUUACUUGUCCCUCAUUUAUUUAAAAAAAUAAAUGCACUUACAAUUGAAGUGAAUUGGGCCAGGCCAUGAAUAAUAAAAUACACGCUGUUGUGUUAAUAUGAUUCUAGUGUGAGAAAAUGCAGGGAUUUAACUGCAUUACGCCAUUUACCAGUUCACAGGGUUUUCUGGCGUUACAUCAUCAUGACAAUGAACUUGUAAUAUUGGAUAAAACUUUACACAGAAAGGUUAGUAAGGGAUUUUAUCACACUAAAAUCAUGUUAACACGUAUAAUGUUUAUGUCUUGUGGCUAUACUUUUGAAACAGUGAGAAUUUUUAUGUUUAUGGAUUGGCCCCUUAUACUUCCAUGGUAAGUGCCUUACUGUAACUGUGAUUUUUUCUUUCUUUCUUUUUUUUUUUUAUAAACAAGGGACGAGUCUAAAUUGUUUGUGUGGUAAUCAGUAUUAUCCCUGUCGAUUGAACUUAGCUUGUACUGAAGGAACAUUCCUUUAACUUAAUACUGUAUUUUCGUUUAAUGUAGAUAUCCUUUCCUUUCAUUUCUUUUCUUUUUCUUUUUUUAAUAGUUUGAGAACAAACAAUAAUUGUCGGACCCCCUAGAGCAAAUUCAAUAAUCCACAAGCCUCAGCUUUACCUCACCAUUCUCUCAGUGCAAGAGUAUUUCUAGCUCUGUUGUAUGAUCUUGUUGGGCCUCAUGUAUUCAGAUACAAGACAAAGGCAGGCCUAACACAGUCGUAAAACCUGACUGAGGCCCACACACAAAGUCAUAAAUCUUACUGAUAAAAACCGCAACAAAAUCAAACAAAGGGAGUCCAAAACAGACUACAAAUCCCAUGAAGCCUUGCUCACUAAAGGAUUGAAACUCUCAACUCCUAUUGGAUGAGGCACACGACAGAACGCCCCUCAACCAUGAUGUCAUCAGGAGUAGAAAUACCUCUGAGAUGCUUCCGGGCAUUGCUUCCAGCAACUUUGCUCGCCGUGUGUAGACGCAGCUCAUUGCUGCUCUCAGGUGUAGCCUCGUGGCACAAGGAAGUAACAUCCGACUUGAAACUGUGGCCAUACAAUCUCCAUCUCGCUGGACGAGUUGAGAUUACUCUGUGUUCCACCGAACACUCUAACCGGAUCCGAAGGAGACCGCCGAGCAAUCCGCAUCUUCAUCCGUUUGCCUGCAGAAGUGAAGAGAAAAGAUUUCUCUUCCCUCUUCAGUCAAGUUGACGUCGCUGUUUCUCCACCAGCCUGCCGAGAAUCAGCAGCCGUACCGCCUGCCGACAGAACGAGGAAACGGCCUCCCGUCAUCACCCGAGCCUCGAGGGACCGAGUCGGAGUUAAAGGACGGAUGAACACACAUUCUACCUGCGUCC